UACGUAGGGUGCAAGCGUUGUCCGGAAUUAUUGGGCGUAAAGAGCUCGUAGGCGGUCUGUUGCGUCGGCUGUGAAAACCCGGGGCUCAACCCCGGGCCUGCAGCCGAUACGGGCAGACUAGAGUUCGGCAGGGGAGACUGGAAUUCCUGGUGUAGCGGUGAAAUGCGCAGAUAUCAGGAGGAACACCGGUGGCGAAGGCGGGUCUCUGGGCCGAUACUGACGCUGAGGAGCGAAAGCGAGGGGAGCAAAUGGG
rnacentral:rRNA from 1 species